AAUCCACUGUGGAUUGGCUGGGCAUGGGACAAAUUAGCUGAUAGUCAUCACCUGCUGAGGCAUGUGUCUGUCCAGUGGUGUCCUUUCAGCUGUUUAUAGGACUUAUUAAAAGGAAGCAAGCUGAGUACUGGAAGGAGAGAGAGGCCCUAGAUUGGAAGAGGAACGCAUGAAGCCCGUCUGGAGACCGGUCAGCGUGAUGUGGUGACCCAGUCCCGACAGCAGGAACGGCGACAGUAGGAGACAACGCGUGUGAUUGACAUCAGUGCAGAUGUAUACCACUGCCUGCAUUUAUGAUGACGUGAGGGGAGCCGCGGUGGUAUCGAGCGACGGACUCCAAUGCAGAAUGCGAACUGGGCUGGGAUGUGAUGGGGCCCAGUGGACGGACGAGACUGGGACAGGAGGCUCCUAGUCUGCCUGGCACGAGGCUGGCGUGGACCUCACUUAGCAAGAGGAAUUUCUGUCCAGCUCAAGAACACACAAGGAGUAUUCGUCCUGGGUUGUGGGACUGGGUGGGAUUUUUGUACAUGAAGAGAAUUGUAUUUUUACCAGUUUUAGAAUAAUCUUAUCUAGUCUCGGUGGGAAUUUUAGCAUAUUGAGAAAAAUGUUGUUGUGAAUUGGCUUGAUUUAAAUCAAACUGAACUGCACUCAAUUAAAACCAAAUAUAACUUGUUAUCAAAUCUAUUCAAAUGUAAAGUCGUCUCACUCAAUUUGGACAACUAGCACUGAAAAAUACACUGACAUCCUCUGUUUCCCAAUUAGCAGAUGAGAGGUUGCUGUUUUAUUCAUGACUCAAUACUUGAAUGGUUUUAUCCUGUUUAUGAAUAAACAUUUUAAAAUGA